AAAUCUUUGCUGAUCUGUCUGUUUGUCCUGCUUGUCCCAUUGCCCUUAUUGUGUAGAAUAAUAUACUUCAUGUUGUUAUGUAGACAGAGGUCUGCCAUAAUCUGGCAGAUUUAUGAUAAAAGGUGUUCCUAGUGUCUGUUCUCUGUAAUAGUAUAUCUCUCACACUACAUCCACCAAACAUUGACCUUAUCCAACAACAAUACAGAAGAGUUUAAUUAACAAAAGAAGCUAAAGUAAAAUUUAUUGGUCAAUUCAGACCAGUUUCAAUCCUGACUGUAGAUGACAAGAUUUACAUGGAUUUACUUGCUAAGGGAUCAGCUACAUAUCUACAAAAUCAUGUCUAUAGGACGGGAAAUGUCCAGAAGGCUGACAUCUCCGGAAUUCGUGGAUAUGUGGAACAAACAUUUUCAAUCUGGGAUGCACACAAGACAGACAGGAGAGUAAAAAGGAGUUGAAUGUUGUAUGGUUUGAUCUGGCUAAUGCUUAUGGUUCUGUACCACUCGGUAGAUAGCUCCAAUCAGUUGUUGAUGAAAGCAAUGGACUUCUUUUAUAUACUGGAAGAAAAGAUUAUCUGAUGAAGAGCUGCUAUAACAAUUUCAAAAUGCAGUUCAUGGCAGAAAAUUUCACAACAGAGUGGGAUCGUCUUGAAUUUGAAAUACCUGUAGGUUGAAAAAUAUCCGCCAUUUGAGUUUGUUAUGGAGAAGCUACUUAGAUCAGCAGAUUGAUCAGAAGAAAUGGCUUGAGUGAAAUCACAUGAGAAGGCAUUAAUUGAUGAUAUAACAAUAAUAAGAGAUUAAAAUGACAUACAAAUCGUUCUGGAUAGACUGGAUGGACUUAUUACUUGGUAGAGAGUGUGGUUUAAAGCUAAUAAGUAAUGCAGUCUGUCAGUUGUCAAAGGUCAUCAGAAGAAGUUCAAAAUAGCAGGUGAAACCAUGUCAAAGGUUGAAAAGAAACCUAUAAAAUGUUUAGGACAAUGGUACACUACCUCAUUGUCCAAUAAGAGUAGAGGCAUUGAGAUCAUGGCAGAAAGAGAGGGUGGGUUAUAAGCAAUAGAUAAGUGAGGACCUCUCGGAAAAUACGAGAUUUGCUGCGUCCAGUUUGAUCUAUAUCUCCGUCUUGCGUAUAUAUUCUUGAGCAUCCGUUCUUGUGUACCAUUUCAGAUAUCUUUGCCGCCAUAACGUGUGGAUAAUUAGUUAUAUGAAGUUAAUGAGGUUUGUGCAAAUGUAGACUGUAGCGUGUAAAAUCUAGCAUGCAAUAAUUUCAACACUUCUUAUUAAUAACUGCACUUUUUGAUUCCACGUAAAUUGACAACUGAAUGUUCAAAGAAAACUUGUAAUGUGACUAGUAGCGACCUCUUUUGAAAAUGAACAAAAUAUGGCUUC